GCGCCGUUAGCUCAAUUGGCAGAGCAUCUGACUCUUAAUCAGGCGGUUGAAGGUUCGAUUCCUUCACGGCGCA
rnacentral:tRNA from 1 species